CAGAAUCAGAAUCGGAAAGACUCUUUUUGGUCUGAAUCAAAUGAAUCGAGUCUCUGAAAAUCAACAAGGAUAAAUAGGUGCUGUGUCGCUAUAGAAAUGUUUGGAACAUCAACCUCAAAUUCAAACCCGCAUAUUUAGUAACCGCCCCCUUGGAUUGAACCCUAGUAAACUUCUGUACAUGGUCUCAGAUCUGAAGCUGCUGUCUGAGUAUUUUGGAGUCCCUAUGUUUUCAUCUUCAAGCCUUUCUGAGAAAGGAGAGAAGUGGAUGGGGCAAGCCCACAGCCACAAUGUGAUCACUACUCCUCCAUGCUCUGUCUAUUUUAACAACUUCUAAAUAAAAUGUU